rnacentral:lncRNA from 1 species
UCUCGGUCUCAUUUCAAUAUUUCCUCUCAUUCUUUUUCGUGGGAGCGAGAAACCCAAAGGUUGUCUGCCGUUUCUUUUUUUUUUUUGGUGAUAUUGAAAUCCCCUGUUUUCGCUCUGUGUUUGAAAUCUUUCAAUGUCGGUCUGUCUGUUUCUUUUUGGUUGUUUUAUUGAUCUCUUCCUGUAUAUGCAUACAGCGAUUCAAACCAAGAACGAACGGUUCAAUCAGAGCGAGUUUCAGGUUUGGUGCGCGUUAAACGCACCGUCGCAUCGGCUCCCAAAGUGUAGAAAAUCGCCAUCAAUCGUGUAAGUGUAGAAAACCUUUUCUUGUUUUUGCUUAGCAGAAUAAUUUUGGGGUAAGGUUUUUUUGGGCCUGAGUCACGCUUAGAUUUCGGCUUAUCAUUUAUAUUUUUGUCAUUAUAGUUAACUUUUCCAAAUAACAUGACACUAGUUCCAUUCUGUUUCUUUCCAUGUUUCAAAUCUAUGGAUCUCAUUCUGUUUGUUUCCUGUGUUCUUUUGUGAGAUAGAUACCUAAUUUUUCUCCUCCUGUAGAUGCAUAUUGCAAUGCAAACCAAGAACGAACGGUUCAAUCAGAACGAGUUUCGGGUUUGUUGAGCGUCAAAUGCGCCGUCGCUUCGACUCCUAGAGUGUAGAAAAUCGCCAUCAAUCGUGUAAGUGUAGAAAACCUUUUCUUGUUUUUGCUUAGCAGAAUAAUUUUGGGGUAAGGUUUUUUUGGGCCUGAGUCACGCUUAGAUUUCGGCUUAUCAUUUAUAUUUUUGUCAUUAUAGUUAACUUUUCCAAAUAACAUGACACUAGUUCCAUUCUGUUUCUUUCCAUGUUUCAAAUCUAUGGAUCUCAUUCUGUUUGUUUCCUGUGUUCUUUCGUGAGAUAGAUACCUAAUUUUUCUCCUCCUGUAGAUGCAUAUUGCAAUGCAAACCAAGAACGAACGGUUCAAUCAGAACGAGUUUCGGGUUUGUUGAGCGUCAAAUGCGCCGUCGCUUCGACUCCUAGAGUGUAGAAAAUCGCCAUCAAUCGUGUAAGUGUAGAAAACCUUUUCUUGUUUUUGCUUAGCAGAAUAAUUUUGGGGUAAGGUUUUUUUGGGCCUGAGUCACGCUUAGAUUUCGGCUUAUCAUUUAUAUUUUUGUCAUUAUAGUUAACUUUUCCAAAUAACAUGACACUAGUUCCAUUCUGUUUCUUUCCAUGUUUCAAAUCUAUGGAUCUCAUUCUGUUUGUUUCCUGUGUUCUUUCGUGAGAUAGAUACCUAAUUUUUCUCCUCCUGUAGAUGCAUAUUGCAAUGCAAACCAAGAACGAACGGUUCAAUCAGAACGAGUUUCGGGUUUGUUGAGCGUCAAAUGCGCCGUCGCUUCGACUCCUAGAGUCUGGAAAAUCAUCGUCAAUCCUGUAAGUGUAGAAAAUCUUUUCUUGUUUUUGCCUAGCAGAAUAAUUUUUGUAAUAUCCGCUGAGCAGAAUACUUUUCCUCUCUGUUUUUAGUUGAUAUAUUCUUCUUUUCUUGUUUUUGCUUAGCAGAGUAAUAUUGGGGUUUGGUAUUUUUGAGCCUGAAUCACGAUUAGAUUUCGGCUUUUCAUUUAUAUUUUUGUCAUUAUAUUUACUUUUCCAAUUAACAUGACCCUAGUUCCAUUGCUCCCAAGACUGAAGAAAAUAUCUAUUAUUAAGAUUUUUGUAAUAUUCGCUGAGCAGAAUAAUUUUCCUCUCUGUUUUUAGUUGAUAUAUUCUUCUUUUCUUGUUUUUGCUUAGUAGAAUAAUUUUGUGGUUUGGUUUUUUUGGGCCCAAAUCACGCUUAGAAUUUGGCUUAUCAUUUAUAUUUUUGUCAUUAUAGUUCAUUUUCCAAAUAACAUUACACUAGUUCCUUUGCUCUCAGAACUCAGGAUAAUAUCUGUAUAAUAUUUUUGUAAUUUCUGCUUAGCAGAAUACUAUUCCUCUCUGUUUUUAGUUGACAUAUGCUUCUUUUUGCUAAUAUGUUCUGUGGUUUUUAUUAAGAUUGGUUAAUGAAUCAUUAUGGGCCUCGGGGAAGUGUUUCCGGGAUUCAUUAGUUAAAAUUUGUUCAAUUUUUUUUAAAAAAUGAAAUUUUUAUUUUUAAUAAAAAUAUUAGUUAAAAUUUUAAACAUUUCAACACUUUUUAAAUUUUAAUGAAUUAUAAAUAUUUUGAAUUUUUAAAAUAAUUUUAAUUUAUUUGACAAGAAAAUUUAACACUGAUUUAAAAUUUAAAAUAGAUACAUUAAAUAGCUUCCAACGUCUCUCUAAAUUCUGGAUGAGAGACACUUCUUUCUCCUCUAAAUUGUGUCUCCUUUGUUUCCCUUUAUUCUUACUUUUACCUUUUUUAUUAUUAUUUUUUUAUUUUCUCGUCCUCCCUUUCUUUACUUCACAGAUUCUAUUGGGGUCUCUUUCAAUUUUUUUUCCUGACCUCUCUUUUUUAACUUUUGUGUAAACGCAUGCUGAAAUAAAGUACUUGCUACAACAGGAUAUUGAAAUCCCCUUCUUCAUCGAAUUGUGAUUUCAGGUAUGAUUUUCAGUUCUACUAACUUUCCUUUUUUAUGUCUUUUUAAGUUUCAGACCCAUGCGUAUCUUUUAUUUCUGCGGGUAUUGUGGUUGUUAUCUCUGUUUUAGUUUUCAGAUUUAUUGUGCUUCUUUUUUUUUUUUUUUAGUGUUUUUGUUAUACGUGUCGAUGUUCAGCCUUAUGAAACACAUCUUAUAUUUGUCAUUUUAAAUCUUUCGAUGUCGUCAUUUUUUUGAUAGUUUAUUGUCUGUCAUGUGUUUUAUUUUUUUUUCCGAUUGUUUGUUUCCCUUUGUUUUGAAGGACAUUUUCUUGCAAAUCCUGGAAUAAUCGAAUCCUAUUUAUGAGAUUUUAGAGCGAAGAUAUGUUUCUAAUACGUAUCUACCAUAAAACCCUAAAUGAUUAACACAAAAUAAAUGGAAUCGUUUUCAUGUUUCUUUUUCUUUUUUUGUCUCCUUAUUUUAUCGUUUUGAACAAGUAAUAACAUUAUAUUUCAAUAGUUUUCCUUUCUUUAUAGAAAUUCGAACUACCAAUCGAGAAGUUUGGUGCUUAAUAUGAUUUUGUUUAAUAUGCUAUUCUAAUAUGCGCAAGAGCACGAAAUUGUCUAGAAAUUUUGUUAAACAUGUCUAUUUAUUUCUUAAGAAGGUGCAAGGAAGUUUCUUCCAAUAACAACAAAUUAGUACCAGAAAAUAUUAUGACUGAUAGGUAGAAUUUGUAUGGUGAAGGGCAGAAGGCGCAUUCUAGGUGCUAAAAUUCUUUUAUUUCCGGAGGUGCGAGGGGCAAAAAAUUUAAAAAAAGAGCUUCCCUAAGUGCAGUAAGGCAUAAGAUAUCUGUGUCAAUCUAUUUAUAUACCAAGGUUAAUAUAUAUAGAUAUGAUAAUAAACUCUAAAUUGUGAUCCAGCUUAUCUAUAAAACGUUCAAAUUUUUUUUUUUAUAUUAAUAGACCAAUCUGCAUGAUUUCGUUAUGAUCCCAUGUCUUUCGAGGUGCAAUUGCUAGGCAUAAACCUUUGACAUUGAAGGUUGCAAUACCUUGGUUGAUGCUCAAUACUAUGUUCCAAAUUGUAUUGAAUUUUAUGUUGCCACUAUGUUCAUUUAUUUCUGCAUGUUUGUUAUUAAGUUGAACUUGCAUGGUUUUUUUAUUAUAGUACAAAAUGUUUAAUCACUGAAUGCAAUCUGGAUUGAAGUAGACUUGAAAGUUGUUAAUAGGAAGAUUGAUUAACUUUUCUACUUGAGAAGAUUCCCCUUAGCUCGGUUGCUAGCAUUACGUGGUAAAUUUAAAUUUAAAUAUGAAAAUUCUUGUUAGAAAAGGGUUAAGAAUUUAACCGCCCUGUUCUACACUAGUUUAAAUAGAAGAGAUUUUUGUAACUUUAGAAACCUACUAUUAUGAAAUUAGUUUUUUGUCCAGAUUACGCCGAAUGCAUGCUACUAGAAUUUCCGCAUCCAAAUUUCUACCUUAUGUGGUAUUCUUCUUUUCUGAUUGUAUUGCUUUCUUCUAUUUCUAACAUGUAGAUGAAAUGUUGAGACAUGCAUCUGUGUCAUCAGUUGCACGCUUGUUAAGCAAUCUUCAUAGUCAUGAUUUGUUUGUACUUUUCUGCUACAAUCCUCCUCCCUUGAAUUGUUCGGUUUGAAAUUUCUCAACUUUCCUAGACAUGUGGUUUGUCUUUAGUUCUCUUGGAAUAGUUUCAAUCCUGUCUGCAAAAUUCUAUGUUUUUAACACAAAUUUUUCUUGAUUUUAAAAGGGAAUGUUUCUUGCUUUUAGUGGAUACUUUUGAAAUUGAUGGGUGGUAUAAGUGAUACCCGUAAUGAGUUCUUUUGGGUGCUUUCUCAGUGGUAUUUGUUGAUGUUUGCAGAUCAGAUCUCCAGUAUCUUUUGGUUAUUACAUUCAGACCUUAUGAGGCUAGGGUUACAGCUGUAAAGAGAAUCCACGAAGUACGAGAAGGGAGGAAGAGAGAAUAAUGAAAACAAACCCCUGCUUCAUGGGAGUCAUUUCAGGUAUGAAUAUUUACAUUAACUGUGUAUUUGCCUUUUCAUGUAUUUUUUUAAUUUCAGAUCUCUGCUUCUCUCCUUUGUUUUUUCUCUUGGUUUUUUGUUUUUCAUAUUUGUUGAUGUUUGCAGAUCAGAUUUCCAGUAUCUUUUGGUUAUUACAUUCAGACCUUUAUGAGGCUAGGGUUAUAACUGUAAAGAGAAUCCACGAAGUACGAGAAGGGAGGAAGAGAGAAUAAAAGAAAACAAACCCUUGCUUCAUGGGAGUCAUUUUAGGUAUGAAUAUUUACAUUAACUGUGUAUUUGCCUUAUCAUGUAUUUUUUUAAUUUCAGAUCUCUGCUUCUCUCCUUUGUUUUUUCUGUUGGUUUUUGGUUUUUCAUCUUUAGAAUAUGUUUGUCUCUACUUUUUCAUCUCUAUUUUAAUUCUCAGAUCAAUGCUUCUCUCUUUGUUUUUCAGUUUGCUUUUGUUUGAGUUUUUGGUUCUCUUUGUCUUUACUUUUUCAUCUCUAUUUAGAUGGGGCGGUUUCGUGGUUUUUGGAUCUGGUUCGUGUUUUUUUUUGUUCUGGGCCUAUUUUUCCUUUAUUUCUAACGUUCCUUUCUCCUUAAUAGCUACUCUUUUUCCCUUUACCAAUAUUUUCCUUCUCUUGUUUUUUCUUCUCUUAGCCUCUUUUCCUGUGUUUUCUUCAAUCUAUAGCUCUCCCAUUCAUUAGCCCUUUCUCUCUCUCUCAAUAUCCUUUCAAUUUUUUCCUCGAAAUUUUUAGCUUCGGGUAAAUUACGAAACCAAUUACCCUACCCCUCUAAAUAUUUUAUCUUACUGAUAAAAAUAACAUAAAAUAUUAUAAUAUUGUUAUGCUGUAAAAUAAAAACCCGAAGUUUUUGUCCGUUAAAGCAAGAUCCAUUGUCAUUAGCUUCUUUCUCUCUCUCGAAAAAGGAAAAGAAAAGGUUUGAAUUCAUGAAUCAGCGGAAGCUUCUUCCUAAUGAGAGAGUCGAGGUAGUGAUCUUUUUAGGUAUAAAUUUUGGUUCUUUUAAAAAAUUCUUGUUUUUUCUUCACCUUUUAUUAUUCUGUUUGGUUUCUGAUUGAAGAAAAUCGAGGGAAAUUUGUUUCAAACUUGCAAUUAGUCUUUGUUUUUUUAAAAUAAUUACUGAUCCACCUGUGAGUGGGCAAAUUCUGUUCAUUCUUCUUUUUCGGAAAUUUUGUUCUCUUACUGAAUUACUUAAAAAAUACAUGCCUUUCGGUUGAUCCCUUGAUAGAAGCUUCGAUUUGUCUUGUUUCACUGCUUUCAUUUGAUUUUUGAAGAAGUUAAGGUUGCAAAUUUGAAAUUAAUUUUCCCUCAUUUUCCGAGUAACCAAUCGUAAGCUUAUUUUAUCUUGCAAAUUAGUGAUUCCGGAAUCAUUUGUAACUCUUGUUAGACAAGGUUUAAUAGAGAACCGAACUCAUUUGAAUUCCGUAAAUCUUCUGGAGUGCAAUGCCUUGACUAUUAAAUUAAUUUGGAUAUAGAUAAUUUCCAAAACUCAAUUUUGAUACCGAACCUGUUAGUUUGGUCAUGUAAGUUUUCCGAUUUCCCCAUUAUUCAAUUUCGAACGUCUUUUAUAAUUCUCUCUGUUAAUUUCCCCAAAAUAGUAGUAGUGAUUUAAAGAAGGUUAUAAUUACCAUAAAUAAUAUCGUUGCAUUAUUCAUAAUCUGAACCUGCUUUUAUGUUAUUUGGACAAUUCUUUGGAUUUUUCUGUGUAGUCGUAAAGAAUUUUUUAUCCGGUACAGAUUUUUAUCUGUCCUGUUGUAGUUAAUUUACUUUCUUAUUCUGCUCCGACUUUAUUCCUGUCAUAUACCUUCUCUGAAUAAGCUAUUCCCAGAAUAGACUAUAUUUUCUCAUUCUGGUUCACAAUUUUUAGCCUCCGUUUUAAGAGUUUUAACAGCUAGUUCAGAUUUUUUUCUUAUCUGGAUCGAUCUAUGUGAUAUACUUAUUCCACUCAGGGAUAUCCCAUUCUACGGAUAGCCCAGUUUGGUUGUUUCCCAUACAGGUGGAACCCGGCUUGGGUAUAUCCCAUUCUCUUAAUAUCCCGUUUCGGGUUUUUAUGUUAUUGAUUAUAAUUAUUUGGAUUUUUUCUGUUUCGUCGUAAAAAAUGUUAAUGAAAAAGUAGAUUUGUAAUGCACAAUAUAUUCUACAUCGUAUUUUCGUAUUCUCUCAAAGAAUAUAAUAUUUUCUCUUGUCGAAAUAUAAAGAAUGGAAGACUAUUUUUUGCUAUCAUUUGCCUGAAUAACAUCUUCAUUAGUUGCUUUCUCUCUUUUAAUUUCAGGUUUAUGUUUUUUUACUUGUGUUUUUUGUUUAGAAAUUCCUGUUUUGCUAUGUGUUUAAAAUUUUAUGGAUGUGGUCUGUGAGUUACCUUUUUUGUUGUUUUAUGUUGUUUAUCACGAUUUUCUAAAUAAGAGGACCUAAAUUAAAAACACAUAGUCGUUUAAAAAAAAUGGCAGAUACAUGAACAAAUAUUAUAUGAAAAUUAUUGUUUUCCCAAUAAAGUUGUCAAUAACCAAAACGCUCUUUUUAUAAACUCCUUAAUAUUAAGGGGUAAACCAGGUCGAAUCCAAUGAGUGAGUCGAGGUAGUGCUAGUCUUUCUUUUAAGCUAUAAAUUUUGAUUCUUAUAAAAAAUAUUGUUUUUUCUUCAUCUCAUUUUAUUCUGUUUGGUUCCUGAUUGAAGAAAAUCGAGGGAAAUUUGUUUAAAACUCGACAUUAGUUGUUUUUCUUAAAAAAAAUAAUUCCUGAUUCACCUGUGAGUUGGCAAAUUCUGUUCAUCCUGCAUUUUCCCGGAAGCCAAACAUGAGACUUAAAUGUUUUUUAUUUCGAAAAUUUUGUUCUCUGACCGAAGUAUUGAAAAAAUACAUGUCUUUCAGUUGAUCCCUUAACUUUUGUUUCUAUUUUGUGCGUUCUUUUAAAUCCCUUAACUUUUGUCUUUUUUUUCAUCUGUUUUUUAGUUUCUGGUCUAUUCUCCUUUACUUGAAUUUGCAGUGGGUUUUUGUUAGAAAUUUCGGUUUUUUAGCUUUAGAGAAAAUAUGGAUCAUGGUGGGGUCUAACUUCUUGUAUUAAGUUUUUUAUUUUUUGUACUGAUUGGGCUUGAUUUUUUGUUUGUGUCACGCAUUGAUUUCGGCUCAUGUAAUGCUUUUGUUUGGGUCUCGUAUUGGGCUAAUGUUAUAGCUUAGGUUUUUGUCUUCGUUAUUCAUUGAUUUUGGCUCAUGUUAUGCUUUAGUUUGGGUCUCGGAUUGGGCUAAUGUUAUAGCUUAGGUUUGGCUUUUUCUCUGGCCUUGCGUCUGUGUCUGUCCUGUUAGGUUCGGUUUGGGUGGGCUUGGUUAGACUGGGUAGUUUUCUUUUCGGCUUUUGGUUUGUCGGCUCUUGAAUAGUUUGUUUAUGGAAUAGGCUGGUUCGAACAUAAGCUGGCUCGGGAAUAGGCCGGUUUUGGAAUAGUCUGGUUUGGUUAACUUUAGAGUCAGGUUCAUCAUUUGAGGUAAGGUUUUUUUGGGACUGAGUCACGCUUAGGUUUCGACUUAUCAAUUAUAUUUUUGUCAUUAUAGUUCCUUUUCCAAAUAAUAUGACACUAGUUCCAUUUUGUUUCUUUCCAUGUUUCAAAUCUAUGGAUCUCAUUCUGUUUGUUCUAUUUGUUUGUUUCCUGUGUACUUUCGUGAGAUAGAUACCUAAUUUUUCUCUUCCUGUAUAUGCAUAUUGCGAUGAAAACCAAGAAUGAAUGGUUCAAUCAGAGCGAGUUUAGGGUUUGGUGAGUGUCAAAGCUUAGGCUCCCAAAGUGUGGAAAAUCGUUGUUAAUUGUAUAAGUGUAAAAAAUCUUUUCUUGUUAAUUGUAUAAGUUUUGGGUUGUAGAUUAAAAAGGAAUCUGUAGGAUCAUGGGGCUAGACGUUUGUACGCAUGAUGGCGUAUGUUAUUCUUUUUCCUACAUGUAGACUAUAUGAUAAAGAACAUUUCUAACUCAAGAUAUUAGAAAAUAAGGCAGGUAAAGAAAUUAAGGCUGCUUGGGGGCAUCUAAUGUAUCAUCAUUCUAGAAAAUAAGGCAAGUAAAGAAAUUAAGGCUGCUUGGGGGCAUCUAAUGUAUCAUCAUUCUUCAGCAGCUGUUCAUAGAAUUUGAACACUAAGUUCAACAUAGACUUGAGCUCGGCUUGAUACUUUUCUAUAUAUAUAUUAUAUUAUUUUAUGUUAUUUUUAUAUAUUAAAUAAUUUUUAAAUUAUAAAAAUUAAAUCUAUAGUAAUUAAUAAUAUUAUAAUGAAAGCAUACUAUAAAAAUUGUUAAAUUAUCUAUAUAUGUUAAAAAUUGAUAUAAGUAGGCCUAAAAUAGUUUGUGUUAAAUCAUUUACAAACAUAGAUAAGCUUAGGUAAUAUGUUAAGUCUAUAUUUUGGAUCAAGCUUAGAGUAAACAUAAAGUGUAUUAAUAUUUUGUUUAAGUUCAACCUAACCCAUAACACCUCUACGUGAAAGUAUAAUUCAAUUUAUAUCAUUUUUAAUAUUAAUCCAUAUGAAAUUAAAUUGACAUACAUGUUAAAACCAUGAAUAAGGCCAUUUUAAAAUGUAUUUAGGUAUAUGAACUUAAAUAAAAAGAGCCAAGCUAAUUUAUAUUAACAUUUUUACACUUUUAAUUAUGAUAUAACUUUAAUCAUUAUUGCUUUUAAAUAAAUAUGGUGUUUGAAAAAUUUUCAUUCAAAUAUUUUGGCCAGUUCUAACUUUUGAAAAGUGCUUAUGAGAAGUGCUUGGGAAAAGUGUUUUUGAAAAAUUUGAGUGUUUGGCAUUGCUGUCAAAAAGUACUUUUGAAAAAUAAAAUGUUUAUUUUAGACAUAAUAUAAUAAAGUAACGAAUAUGUAUUUAAAUAAUAUUCAAAUUAGUUAAUAUUAU